rnacentral:rRNA from 1 species
UACGGAGGGUGCAAGCGUUAUCCGGAUUCACUGGGUUUAAAGGGUGCGUAGGCGGGUUGGUAAGUCCGUGGUGAAAUCCCCAAGCUUAACUUGGGAACUGCCGUGGAUACUAUCAAUCUUGAAUAUCGUGGAGGUAAGCGGAAUAUGUCAUGUAGCGGUGAAAUGCUUAGAUAUGACAUAGAACACCAAUUGCGAAGGCAGCUAUCUACAGGGAUAUUGACACUGAGGCACGAAAGCGUGGGGAGCAAACAGG